UGACUCUGGUUUCUCUUCAUUACCACAAGCCUUUCGCCUUUACUAAAGACUUUCCGUGGAGAGGAACACUUACGAGUUCCAAGUAUUUUGGACGCUUUGGCUUCUGGCAGAGCC
ensembl:snRNA U5 U5 spliceosomal RNA